rnacentral:rRNA from 1 species
GCACUUGAAAUGGGUGAGAUUGAAAGUGGAAGUGGGCUAAAUCAAGAGAUGGGACUAGCUAGACCCGGCGAUACUCGUUGGGGUUCUCAUUUUAAAACCAUUAUGCACAUUGUUAGCAUGUAUUCCACAAUCCUUGAAGUACUUGAUGCUAUUGGAAAAGAUCCUUCACAAAAACGUGAGUGGACAAGAAUACGUGGAGUUGCUCAAGCCAUUGAAUCAUUUGACUUUGUUUUCAAUCUUGACUUGAUGCUUGUUAUUCUUGGCUAUACAAAUGAGUUGUCCAAAUCUUUGCAAAAGAGAGAUCAAGAUAUUGUUAAUGCAAUGGCACUUGUUAGUUUGGCAAAGAGUAGAACGCAACACUUGAGGUCUCAUGGUUGGGAAGAAUUUGUUGCAAAGCUAACCUUAUUUUGCAACAAACAUGACAUUCAAGUUCCUUUGUGGGAGGAUACUUAUGAGCAUCAUGGAAGAUCACGUCGGUAUUAUGAAGUACAAACAAAUGAUGAUCGUUAUAGAAGAGAGGUAUAUCUUGGUGUCAUUGAUCAAACCAUUCAAGAGCUUGACAAUCGGUUUGUUGAGGUUAAUACGGAGUUGCUUAUUUGCAUGUCGGAUUUGAAUCCAAUCAACUCAUUUGCUUCUUAUGAUGCACUCAAGGUAAUGAGACUUGUUGAAUUCUAUCCCAUGGACAUAUCAAGCACAGAUUUGAUAAGGCUAGAAUUUCAACUUACUACUUUCAUUGAUGAUAUGAGACAAGAUGAUAGGUUUAGAAAUGCAAGUAAUAUUGGUGAGCUCUCUAUUAUGCUUGUUGCAACAAAGAAGCAUGUUCUUUAUGAUUUGGUCUACUUACUCAUCAAAUUGAUAUUGAUUUUACCG